UGCCGCGUGUGUGAUGAAGGCCCUAGGGUCGUAAAGCNCUUUCGCCAGAGAUGAUAAUGACAGUAUCUGGUAAAGAAACCCCGGCUAACUCCGUGCCAGCAGCCGCGGUAAUACGGAGGGGGUUAGCGUUGUUCGGAAUUACUGGGCGUAAAGCGCACGUAGGCGGAUUAGUAAGUUAGAGGUGAAAUCCCAGGGCUCAACCCUGGAACUGCCUUUAAUACUGCUAGUCUUGAGUUCGAGAGAGGUNAGUGGAAUUCCGAGUGUAGAGGUGAAAUUCGUAGAUAUUCGGAGGAACACCAGUGGCGAAGGCGGCUUACUGGCUCGAUACUGACGCUGAGGUGCGAAAGUGUGGGGAGCAAACAGGAUUAGAUACCCUGGUAGUCCACACCGUAAACGAUGAAUGCCAGACGUCAGCAAGUAUACUUGUUGGUGUCACACCUAACGGAUUAAGCAUUCCGCCUGGGGAGUACGGUCGCAAGAUUAAAACUCAAA
rnacentral:rRNA from 1 species